UAAGGGCGCACGGUGGAUGCCUUGGCACUAGAAGCCGAUGAAGGACGUUACUAACGACGAUAUGCUUUGGGGAGCUGUAAGUAAGCUUUGAUCCAGAGAUUUCCGAAUGGGGAAACCCAGCAUGAGUUAUGUCAUGUUAUCGAUAUGUGAAUACAUAGCAUAUCAGAAGGCACACCCGGAGAACUGAAACAUCUUAGUACCCGGAGGAAGAGAAAGAAAAUUCGAUUCCCUUAGUAGCGGCGAGCGAAACGGGAAGAGCCCAAACCAACAAGCUUGCUUGUUGGGGUUGUAGGACACUCUAUACGGAGUUACAAAGGACGACAUUAGACGAAUCAUCUGGAAAGAUGAAUC
rnacentral:rRNA from 1 species